rnacentral:rRNA from 1 species
UGGGGAAUAUUGCACAAUGGGCGCAAGCCUGAUGCAGCCAUGCCGCGUGUGUGAAGAAGGCCUUCGGGUUGUAAAGCACUUUCAGCGAGGAGGAAGGUGGUGAACUUAAUACGUUCAUCAAUUGACGUUACUCGCAGAAGAAGCACCGGCUAACUCCGUGCCAGCAGCCGCGGUAAUACGGAGGGUGCAAGCGUUAAUCGGAAUUACUGGGCGUAAAGCGCACGCAGGCGGUUUGUUAAGUCAGAUGUGAAAUCCCCGGGCUCAACCUGGGAACUGCAUUUGAAACUGGCAAGCUAGAGUCUCGUAGAGGGGGGCUAGAAUUCCAGGUGUAGCGGUGAAAUGCGUAGAGAUCUGGAGGAAUACCGGUGGCGAAGGCGGCCCCCUGGACGAAGACUGACGCUCAGGUGCGAAAAGGCGUGGGGG